CAAAAUAUGAAAACAAGUGCUGAAAAGGAUAACAAAAGGUAAAACAUAAAGAGAGAAGUCCUACCAAGUUCUUAAGAAAUGAUGAUACCAGUUACCCAGGAAGGUGAGGGUAUAAAGCAGAUGUGUUGAAACAGCUGACCAUGUCUUCUUCCUUCCUGGCUUCAGUCAAGAGUUAAUUCUUCCAAGAAAUGAACCAGGGAGGUUCCAAACAUGGAAAUACCAGACAAGGAAAUUUCUCUAAGAUAUAUGGAGACAGGGUUUCUGCAUGUGGGCCAGGCUGGUCUUGAACUCCCGACCUCAGGUGAUCCGCCCGCCUCAGACUCCCAAAGUGUUGGGAUUACAGGUGUGAGCCACCAUGCCCAGCCGGCAUCAUCACUUAUAGGGAAAUGUCUGCUGAAGGCCAAGGCUCAAAGCUGCUGGAACACUGGGAAGCUGAACAAAAGAGAGCUGCUUCUCAUAAAACCCGGACUUCCAAGUUUCCAAUAGGGUCUAGAAUGAGCAAGUUAGCAAAUCAUCUUCUUUGGAAACAAUGAUAAAACUACACGAUGUUGUCAACAACAGCCAUAUUAGAAAUCUAGAAAUUGACCAAAGGUAAACAACAAACUGAGAAGCAUUUUGUUUUUUGUGAAAAGUGGCUGUAUUUCUGCAAAAAUAGUGGGAGUCUAUGGCAUCUCACCUAGGGCUGCUUUGCUCCCCACCUCAGCUCAGUUAGUAUAAAGGUUCUUGCAGCAUGAGGUAGACUGAACAGACCUGAAGUUUCACUGCAGGAAGAAACUCACUCCAGGUUUGGCAGAGGGUUAGAAACUUACUCCCAGCCAUGUUGUCGGGUGACCCAGUGAUCUUAGGGAUAAGCAAAUGGGGAAGGCCAGCAAUUCAUUAACCUGAGGUUGCUGUCCUGGUUGGGGAAAGCAGCAGAAUGGCAGAUAAGCUAGAAAUUUCGUAGAGAUAAGCUGGAAAUGACACAAUCCCAAAGGGGCUUAACCCCAAAGUUGUCCACACACCCUGGCUGCCUUCUGAGCAGAUGCAGGGAAAGACCAGAGAAGGCCUAGGCUAUCCACACAUCCCUGGCUAACCCAGGCUGUCAAGUGUGGAAGAGACACGAGAGGUGGACUGAUACUAAUGGUACGUGGGGGAUCUUACUGGGUUGUCAGGAGUGUUCUCAAAUUGGAUUGUGGUGAUGCUUGUUUAUCCCAAGUUGCUAAGUUUUACACUGAAAAGGGGUGAAUUUUAUGGUAUAUAAAUGAAACAUCAGUAAAGUUGUCAUAAAGCAUUCAAGUUCAAAUAAAUGGCUCUAGGAAAUAUUGUUUUCAAAAUUUUCCUUUGGUCUAUCACAGCACUCCAAAAU
rnacentral:lncRNA from 1 species